GGAGCUCAGCCUUUCCUCAUCACAAGCUUCUCUCACCCGCAGCGUGAGCUGAUGGACGGAGAGCAGUGCAGUCCCCGUGUCAGACACCGGCUGCUCAGACACAGCGCAGCCGAAGGCAGAGCCCAAAAUGCAGGUGGGGCUCUGCAGAGGGAGCCUGGUGAGGAACCGCUGGGCACAUCCACCCAGCAGCUAACGAGGCCUGCCCACCUGGCAGCUGCACAGCCCGAGGGAGAUGGACCUUCCAAAGCAUUCAAAUGGGUUGCCUCCCCGAGACAAGUUUUUCAGGCUUGGGAUUGGAGAGGUUUUCUGAGUGCGCUCCCAGCCCUGGCUGCCAAAACAGAAUGGGAUGCACAAGUGAGAGAGUCAGCGAGCCCCCAGGCCGGGUCAGAGCGGGAUCACUGGGGAACUCUCACAUCCAAUAUUGCAGGGGGGGGAAAAAAGGCAUCACAGCUGAAAAUUGGCCCAGAAGAGAAGAGUGGAAGCACAUCAGUGCUGCAGCAGAGAGCUGCCUGGGCUGCAUGUGGAGCGCAAGGGAUGGCGUUAGAGCUGAAAGUUACUUGGAAAUGCUGAUGGAUGAAACUCAAUCUGCCAUAUAAAAGUUUAAUUAGAGCACUGUUAAACCCAAGCUUUCUGGAAGGGACAAAGGAAACCGGGUUUCUAGAAGAUUCCUUCUUCUCCUGGGACUCCGUAAUAGACCUGGAAACAUGGCUGUGGAAUUUCAUCACCACCCAGAGGACAACCAUCCGGACAGCAUCCCAAGGUUUCCCAGCACAAAGGAUGGAGAGAGCCUCUCUGCUCCACCUACAGACGGCUCCUUGUCUGAGGAGCAGAGCUGGGCCAGGGCUGGAGGAGCCACUGGAGAGAAGGAAGGCUGUCGUUGGGGAGCAGCGCCUGCUGCAAAGGGAGCCGCGGCGCGGGCUGCACCUCCACCGCCUACUGAUGGCUGCAAUAGUGCUGUCAGUGCUCGGGCACUGGGACACACCCGGGGAACACGCGGGACCACGGGCGCUGUGUCUGUACAAAUCCCAGCUGCUGUUACCCGGGUGUUGGAAUGAGGUAAGAGGGAAGCACUCCGGGG
ensembl:lncRNA